GAUGAACGCUGGCGGCGUGCCUAAUACAUGCAAGUCGAGCGAACGGACGAGAAGCUUGCUUCUCUGAUGUUAGCGGCGGACGUGUGAGUAACACGUGUAUAACCUACCUAUAAGUCUGGGAUAACUUCGGGAAACCGUAGCUAAUACCGUAUGAUAUUUUGAACCGCAUGGUUCAAAAGUGAAAGACGGUCUUGCUGUCACUUAUAGAUGGAUCCGCGCUUCAUUAGCUAGUUGGUAAGGUAACGGCUUACCAAGGCAACGAUGCAUAGCCGACCUGAGAGGGUGAUCGGCCACACUGGAACUGAGACACGGUCCAGACUCCUACGGGAGGCAGCAGUAGGGAAUCUUCCGCAAUGGGCGAAAGCCUGACGGAGCAAAGCCGCGUGAGUGAUGAAGGUCUUCGGAUCGUAAAACUCUGUUAUUAGGGAAGAAAAUAUGUGUAAGUAAAUGUGCACAUCUUGACGGUACCUAAUCAGAAAGCAACGGCUAACUACGUG
rnacentral:rRNA from 1 species